CAGUCGCCACGGGAAUACAGAGGGUGCAAGCGUUAUUCGGAAUUACUGGGCUUAAAGCGCGUGUAGGCGGGUCGGCACGUCGGUCGCUGAAAUCCCCCGGCUCAACCGGGGAAGUGGCGCCGAUACGGCCGGCCUGGAGGGGGGUAGGGGGGUCUGGAACUUCCGGUGGAGCGGUGAAAUGCGUUGAGAUCGGAAGGAACGCCCGUGGCGAAAGCGAGACCCUGGACCCUUACUGACGCUGAGACGCGAAAGCCAGGGGAGCGAACGGGAUUAGAUACCCCUGUAGUCCCUGUCUCUUAUA
rnacentral:rRNA from 1 species